GUCUACGGUCAUGCCACCCUGAAUGUGCCCAAUCUCGUCUGAUCUUGGAAGCUAAGCAGAUUCGGGCCUGGUUAGUACUUGGAUGGGAGAUAACCUAGGAAUACCAGGCGCUGUCGGUG
rnacentral:rRNA from 1 species